rfam:Sorghum bicolor cultivar BTx623 chromosome 1, whole genome shotgun sequence.
GUAGUCGGAUUCAUAUCAAUCCACAUGUGUUGGAGUGGGUUGAAGUAGAAAUUGAACUAAAUUCUACCACAAUCCACUCCGACACAUGUGGAUUGAGGUGAAUCCGAUA